rnacentral:lncRNA from 1 species
CCACCCUUACCAUGCCUACUGUGGAUGGCAUAGUAAGUAUCAGCUAACAAGGUGGGGACUGGAUUUCCUCUGAUGAAAAUGCUGAUGGCAGCAUGGUCAACAAAAUUUGGCAUACUGGGAAAUAGGAUGAUUCCAUAUAUCAAGGCGGCAAGCUGUGCGUGAAAAGCUUCCCAAUUUCCCUUCUCUGCUUCAUCUCUGGCUAUUCUCAACAGAAACUUCAA